rnacentral:rRNA from 1 species
CACACCUCUGGUGUUCCGGUUGUCACGCCAGUUGCAUUGCCGGGUAGCUAUGUGCGGACGGGAUAACCGCUGAAAGCAUCUAAGCGGGAAGCCCCCUUCAAGAUGAGAUCUCCCCGAGGCCUCGAGCCUCCUGAAGGGCCCAGCGAGACCAGCUGGUUGAUAGGCACGGUGUGGAAGCGCUGCAAGGCGUUGAGCUAACGUGUACUAAUGGCCCGUGAGGCUUGACCAUAUAACACCCAAAGGGU